rnacentral:rRNA from 1 species
AACGAACGCUGGCGGCAGGCCUAACACAUGCAAGUCGAACGCCCUAGCAAUAGGGAGUGGCAGACGGGUGAGUAACGCGUGGGAACCUUCCCUAUAGUACGGAAUAGCCCAGGGAAACUUGGAGUAAUACCGUAUACGCCCGAAAGGGGAAAGAUUUAUCGCUAUAGGAUGGGCCCGCGUAGGAUUAGCUAGUUGGUGAGGUAAUGGCUCACCAAGGCGACGAUCCUUAGCUGGUCUGAGAGGAUGAUCAGCCACACUGGGACUGAGACACGGCCCAGACUCCUACGGGAGGCAGCAGUGGGGAAUAUUGGACAAUGGGCGCAAGCCUGAUCCAGCCAUGCCGCGUGAGUGACGAAGGCCUUAGGGUUGUAAAGCUCUUUUGGCGGGGACGAUAAUGACGGUACCCGCAGAAUAAGCCCGGCUAACUUCGUG